rnacentral:ncRNA from 1 species
CCGCAACUCUGGGAUUAGUGACGAAAUGCUUCGGGGAGUUAAAAUUAGCAUAGACCCGAAGAUUCCCAAAUAGGUCAACCUUUUAAACUGCUUGCUGAAACCAUGAGUAGGCAAGAGACAACCUGGCAAACUGAAACAUCUUAGUAGCCAGAGGAAAAGAAAGCAAAAGCGAUUCCCGUAGUAGCGGCGAGCAAAAUGGGAGCAGCCUAAUCCGUGAAAACAGG